rnacentral:tRNA from 1 species
GAGGGUGUAGCUCAAGUGGCAGAGUGCGUGCUUAGCAUCCACAAGGUCCUGGGUUCAAUCCCCAGUACCUCCU